UGCCUGACCCAAGGUGGGCGGGCUGGGUGGGGGCCGUCGUCUUACCCAGCAGUGUUUGGGUGCGGUUGGGAGUCUCUAAUACUGCCGGGUAAUGAUGGAGGCCCCCGUCCCUGUGUCAGCAACAUCCAUCGCCUCAGG
rnacentral:miRNA from 1 species